CCCCACCAGGCGGCGUUUUGUCUCCCCAAAUCUUCACCUCACCCCAGAUGUGUACUUUCCAGGGGGUCACGGGAGAGUCCUGUGGAGGGGCCUGGUGUGACCCUGCUGGCUGCACCGGCUCUGAAGGCAGCUGGCGCCCCCGUCAGGCGUUUCCAGCAGGGCAGGGGCCUCGGCCGCCAGUCGGGGAGGGCCAGGCCCGAGGAGCCAGCUUGGCCCUCCCUCCAGCCAAGGGGUGUCGCAGCGGUGGGAAUGCUGCGAGGGGCGACCUCUGCAAAGGCGGGUCAUCUUAGAUCUCUGCGUCCUUCCCGCCUAGGUCUUGCUCUGUUGCUCAGGCUGGCCUUGAACUCGUGCUCCAAUGAUCCUCUUGCUUCAGCCUCCCAAGUAGCUGAAAAUAGAGGAAAGUGGCAGAGUGGUGAACAGAAGAGAAACAGCCUCUCCAAGAUUUGGCGUCCAAAUGUUAGAAUACAGCAAUGUGAGGAAGAGAAGAAGG
ensembl:lncRNA